rnacentral:rRNA from 1 species
GCUAAACCGUAAAAAAUUUACCCACACCAACAAACGCCCGGGGACUACGAGCUUUAGCUUAAAACCCAAAGGACUUGACGGUAUCCUACCCAACUAGAGGAGCCUGUUCUAUAAUCGAUGAUCCACGAUAUACCUAACCAUUUUUUGCCAUUCAGCCUGUAUACCUCCGUCGCAAGCUUACCAUAUGAACGAGCAAUAGUAGGCUAAAUGACUUAACGCCAUAACGUCAGGUCAAGGUGCAGCUUAUAAAAUGGAAGAGAUGAGCUACAAUUUCUACCUUAGAACAAACGAAACACUAUAUGAAACAUAGUCAUGAAGGCGGAUUUAGAAGUAAGUAGGGAAUAGAGAGCCCCACUAAACCCGGCCCUAGGAUGUGUACAAACCGCCCGUCACCCUCUUCGUUAGCCACUAAUAAUUUACUAAACCAAUACAGCACUGUAGAAGAGGUAAGUCGUAACAUGGUAAGUAUACCGGAAGGUGUACUUGGAAUAA